GACGAACGCUGGCGGCGGGCUUAACACAUGCAAGUCGAACGGAAAGGCCCUGCUUUUGUGGGGUGCUCGAGUGGCGAACGGGUGAGUAACACGUGAGUAACCUGCCCUUGACUUUGGGAUAACUUCAGGAAACUGGGGUUAAUAUCGGAUAGGAGCUCCUGCUGCAUGGUGGGGGUUGGAAAGUUGCGGCGGUUGGGGAUGGACUGGCGGCUUAUCAGCUUGUUGGUUGGGUAGUGGCUGACCAAGGCAUGGACGGGUAGCCGGCCUGGGAGGGUGGCCGGGCACCAUGGGACUGCGAUACGGACCAGACUGCAACGGGAGGCAGCAGUGGGGAAUAUGGCACAAUGGGAGGAAGCCUGAGGCAGCAACGCCGCGGGCGGGAUGACCGCCUGCGGGUUGAAAACCGCUUUCGCCUGUGACGAAGCGUGAGUGACGGUAAUGGGUAAAGAAGCACCGGCUAACUACGUG
rnacentral:rRNA from 1 species